CUCAGUAAUGUCACUGUGUAAGGUUUGUAUAUAUAAAUUUGAGGUCUGGACCCAGGUUUGCAGACAAUAACUUUAUUUUUAUAUUAUAUUAUAUAUUAUAUUAUUUUUAUAAAAAUUCUAGAAUGGCGCCUGUUAGGUGGCAGCCUGUUACAGCAGCUCCUCUGUUUGUUUUUUGUUUUUUGCAAGUUUUUUUUACUGAAUUAUCAUCUGUUAAUCCAAGUCAAAUCAAGAUCUACGCUUUCUCUCUGAUAACGGAUGAAAGUGGAUGAGUUGGGUUUUUCGAAUUCCUGUGGAAAGACAUAUGGAGAUUAUGGAAACUGCAUCAGAAAAUAUACGUUUCUGUGGCAACGGCAUCUAUACAAGGGAGCAACUGUUAGCUCUCAAGGGAACAAAACUGCUUCUUGGUAUAAAACCUGAAAUCCCCAAAGACCUGAGGAGGCGCAGUAGGGGCUGCAGAGCAGGAGUGAAGCAUCGAGAAAAACGUAGGAGAUUUAAACCAUUUCUCCCAAAAAUUAUUAUGGGGAAUGUGAGGUCACUCUGCAACAAAGUGGAUGAAUUUACAGCUUUAGCUAGCAGCCAGCGAGAUUACAGAGAAUGUAGCUUGCUUUGCUUCACCGAGACCUGGCUGCAUGAAAAUAUAUCGGACAGCUCGCUUGAACUGCCUGGGUUCUUGCUAGUGCGAGCAGACAGAGGGAAACAGAGCGGCAAGAAAAGAGGAGGUGGUCUCUCUGUUUUUGUUAACUCCAAAUGGUGCAACCCUGGACAUGUAACAGUGAAAGACUGUAUCUGUACUCCAGACAUUGAGCUGUUGGUGGUUGGACUGAGGCCAUACUACCUGCCCCGUGAGUUUUCACACGCCAUUGUUGUGACUGUUUACAUUCCUCCAUCAGCUGCAGCACAGAGUGCAUGUGACAUCAUCCACACAGUUGUAGGUGGUCUCCAAACAAAACACCCCAGUGCCCUUAUAGUAAUUAAUGGGGAUUUUAACCAUGUCAGUAUUUCGGGAGCUCUGACCAACUUCAAACAGUAUGUGGACUGUGCAACACAAGAAAAUAAGAUUCUUGAUCUCCUUUAUGCCAAUGUGAAGGAGGCAUACAGCUCUUCAGCCCUCCCCCCACUUGGUGGAUCAGACCACAACUUAAUAUAUCUAGUACCAACAUACAAGCCCGUGGUAAGACAACAGUCUGCCACCAAGAGGUAUGUGAAGGUUUGGUCAAAGGAUGCUGAGGAGGCCCUGCAGGAGUGCUUCAGGGUUACAAACUGGGACCUUUUCAUGGACACUCAUGGUGAGGACAUCGAAGGCAUCUCUCACUGCAUCACAGAUUACAUCCACUCCUGUGAGGACAAUCCAAAAACAU
rnacentral:lncRNA from 1 species